UGGAAGCGGGGUAACGGCUCUAGGUUCGCACGUGGAGGUGGAGUGUGGACUCUCCCCAAAGCUAGAGGAGGAUGAAGGAACUGGGUGAGGGGCCGGAAGAGGCGUGAGAGAUUCUCAUAACAGGUACAGUCAUGCUGAGGCUAAAAAGGAAGCUAAAGUAUUCUUGUUUUGCAUUGUCUUCAGUACCUCUCUCCACUUCACUUCAACAACUAAAGCAGGUCAUGAUUGUAUAUGUCAAAUAACAAAGAAAGGACUAUGAGAAACCAUAACUGGAGCACCAACGUCUAACACAGCCCUGAAAGAACACAUUUUUACAGGAAGCAAGGAGCAAGUAGUAGGAGGCCGUCUUGGAGGGAAGCCAUCUUGACGAGAACCCUUAAUCACACAGCAACCCCUGGGACUUGCCAGUAUGUCAUCAGAUUGCAGAAGUAAUGUCAUACGAAUCUGGGCCUACACCUUAAGAGACUUUGCCAUUUCCAGUUUUACCAUCUUGGGAUUUAGACACCAUGCUUAAGAAGCUUGGAAUUCUGGGACUCUGGAUAAUGUGAGACAUGGAGAGAGAGAAGCCCAGCUAGUGUCCAACAGUCCCAGUCACUACAGCUGAGGCACAAAACGUGAAUAAAAUCACAUGGAUUCUCCAGCGCCAGCCAUGCUGUCCCAGCCAACCAAAUGGAGCAGAGAUAAACCAUCCCUGAGGAGCCCCACCCAAAC